AGAAUCCAUAUAGUCGACCCAAAAUUUUUAGGAUAAAGUUUUAGUUGAGUUGAGUUGCCCUUCUUAUCAAGUCUAUACCAACUACCACGGCAUCCGAUUUUGAGACAUUUGUUAAGCACGUGUAUCAUCCACACAAAUGUACACAUCCGUGGCAGCAGAACAGCUUUAUGUAUAUCUCGCUCCAAAAAAAUAAAUACUGCCUAAUAAAUUCAUACCCAUGACAUUCAUUUGCUAGCAGAAAUGCCUACCAAGAAAUAGGGGUGUGAUUCCCACUUGCAAGCAGCCCUAUCCUCUUCUGUGUUUUUCUAAGAGGCAAUACUAUAACAACCCAAGAAGGAUUCUGCCAACUUGUAAAAUUAGAAUUUUUAUAAUCAAUUUUAUUUGGUGGAUUAAAAAUGUAAAAUAGAGAGAGAGAGAGAGAGA
rnacentral:misc_RNA from 1 species